rnacentral:misc_RNA from 1 species
GGAUGGAUCAUGUAACUUCUUAAUGGCACGACGACGCUUAGUUGUUGUGGUCUCUGUGCUUGCAAAAGCACGGAGCCCUCUACUUUCGGCGCGCUGCCAACACACACCUCUUGCACUUGUUACUUGUCGAUGGACAGCGGCUCCCAAAAAGCUGAUGUCCAUUCGUCAUUAUAUCAUAUUAUAAACCCCUGAUUCAUUUCACAUGAACUUUUAUAUCCAUUGAUGACUCUAACCAAGUCUGUCAUUUGGAUGAAUUCAUAACCAAAACAACUUUCAACAACGGAUGUCUUGGUUCCCGCAUCGAUGAAGAACGCCGCGAACUGCGAUACUUAAUGUGAAACGCAACCCAGCGCGAAUCAUCAAGGUUUCGAACGCACAUUGCACUGUUGAGGUCUGCCUCGGCAGUAUGCUUGUUUGAGAAUCGUUAAAAACCUCCAUUCACAUCCUCUUUCUCUCUCUUGAGAGACGAGAGUGUGAUUGGGACGCUGAGCGCCCUACUUGUGUGCCUCAUACGCGCGCGAGUAGGCCGCUUGAAAUGGAGAUCCCUGUCUGGGAUUUGCACAUUAUCGUGCAGCUCGCCUCUGUGCUGUGCUGGAUGCUGCUUGCGGCUCCUCUACUCACAAAGACGUUUGCUUGUACGAGUCAAAUCCAACUUACAAAAGGGCAGGAUCGUAGAAUUCGUCCUUCACGACGAGUUCCCCUCAACGCACAGUCAUAUCAUGCAAAUGAUGGCUAUGCGCCCCCAAACCGCGAUCUCAAAUCAAGCAAGACCACCCGCUGAACUUAAGCAUAUCAAUAAGCGGAGGAAAAGAAACUAACAAGGAAGCCCUCAGUAACGGCGAGUGAAGCGGGCUAAGCUCAAAUUUCAAAUCUGCGUCUCCGAGGAGGCGUCGAAUUGUAGUCUAGAGGGGCGUCUUGCGUGGUGCGCCGAGCAUAAGUGCCCGGGAAAGGGCUGUCAGAGAGGGUGAUAACCCCGUCUUUGGCUCGGAGUUUGCAUCGCCGAUCAAGGGACGUUUCCCACGAGUCGGGUUGUUUGGGACUACAGCCUUAAUUGGGUGGUAGAUGCCAUCUAAAGCUAACUUAUCUGCGGGAGACCGAUAGCGAACAAGUAGCGUGAGCGAAAGAUGAAAAGCACUCUGGAGAGAGAGAGAAAAGGACCUGAAAUUGUUGAAAGGGAAGGGAUUGGAAUCAGUAGUUACCCUGCGGGGAUUCGUCGGUCGACGGUGUGCCUCUGUGCGUGUGUGAGCCCCUAAAGCCACCGCGUGCAGAGUCGCGCAUCGGGGGCCGGCUAUUUUCUCGUGCGGGUAGGCCAAUAUCAGCUAGUUCGGAAAGGCGCCGGACAAGACUGCCGGGAAGGUAGGGACUGUGCCGUGUACGCGGCCGGUUCUGUUAUAGCCCGGCGGGGAUCCGGUGCCACUGGCUGAGGAAAACCCUGGUGUGCCAUGCACGCGCCUCGGCGAGAUGCGCGGUCGAACGGGUGUUCCUCCAAAAGAGGGGCGUUUGGUGUCGGCUGUGGCGUCGUCGGCGUGCAAAGGAUAUUGGCGAAUUGGUUUCCAUCCACCCGUCUUGAAACACGGACCAAGGAGUCCGCCGUCUACGCGAGUAUUUGGGCGGCAAACCCGAAUGCGCAAUGAAAGUGAAGGCGUCAGUGGGCGCUGAGAUGGGACGGCUUGCGUGAAGCGAGCCUGCACCACCGGCCGAUCUGGACCCCUUGCGGUGAAAGAUUUGAGCAAGAGCGUAGCCCGUGGGACCCGAAAGAUGGUGAACUUUGCCUGAGUAGGUUGAAGUCAGUGGAAACACUGAUGGAGGACCGUCGAGAUACUGACGUGCAAAUCGUUCUUCUGACUUGGGUAAAGGGCGAAAGACUAAUCGAACCAUCUAGUAGCUGGUUCCCUC